UACAGAGGUCUCAAGCGUUGUUCGGAUUCAUUGGGCGUAAAGGGUGCGUAGGUGGCGCCAUAAGUCAGGUGUGAAAUCUCGGGGCUCAACCCCGAAACUGCACUUGAUACUGUGGUGCUGGAGUACUGGAGAGGAGAUUGGAAUUUACGGUGUAGCAGUGAAAUGCGUAGAGAUGCGGGGGAACACCGAUGGCGAAGGCAGCCCCCUGGGUCGACACUGACGCUCAGGCACGAAAGCGUGGGGAGCAAACAGG
rnacentral:rRNA from 1 species